CAUAAUGACCUGAAUGCUCAUUGGUCCACAUUCUGAGUUAGGUGACGUCAUUCACCUGCGCUUGCAUUUAGGCUCAGCGUGUGCGUCUUCAGGAACGCUCGUCUGUUUGCUUUAUGCUGCACGCUGUUGUUACCGUUUCCAGCGUGUCUUUUGUUUGGGAACUCUCGCCUGUCUGUUUAAUGCUGCACGCUGCUGUAACCGCUAUUAGCGUGUUUGUUGUGAACUCUUGCCUUAUGGUUUGCUGCACACGGCUGUGACCGGUUUAAACGGAUGACAACUUUCUAGUUGCGUUUCCUUCCAACGUGGUUUUGGCUUAUUCGGAUGGCUGUUGUGCGGGCUUCUGUGGACUUCAGGUACGGGUAUGACUGAUUUUAAUCUAUCAUUGUCGCCUUUAUUGAAGUGUAGUAAUUGGUUAGGUGGCAACUCUCCUGCAUUUGUUUUGUUAGUUCAUUUGUUGGUGCGUGAAUGACGACUGCAUUAAACUAUUGAGUGGGGGUGUCCUUUUGAGUGCCUGGCCCCGCAGUUACGGAGAACUACAGUUCGUGUAGUGUCAUCGCUGUUUUGUUAUAGGCCAGUUUGAUACUACUGACACAAUGUUGUGACACCGCUGUGCUUCAUCUCCUCCUGCAUAUUAUCUGUGUAUACGUAAUCCCUCAUUGGAGAUUAGGUCCAUACCAUAAGACUUUACAAUUGCCUCCUUUUGUUUUCUUUAUAUUUGUUUUGCAGAAUGAGUUAAAUUUCAGUUUUCUUUGUUUAAUUUUGAUGUUGUGAUUUGGUUUUCUUGAUAAAUAUUGUGUUUGUAAAUUGAUUAUUUUUGCUAUACUGUUUAUUUAGUUUAAGUGUGGAUUUAUGUGAGAAAUUUACAUUCUAUUUUGUCUGAUUGAUUUUGGUUAACAGAUUAUUGAAUUUGUUUUUUUUGUGUUGCUGGAUUGGGCCUUAAAGCUGAACAUCAAGGCCUACAGGUGGAUGAGUAUUUGCCAUCCACCUGCUAGCGUAUAUAACUCUGUAUCAACCUUUUCUUUAUCUGUGUGGUGCGUGUGUGGUGUGGAGUGUGUUUUUCAGGAGCUGUGGCCUUCUGUACUUAGGAAGCCGUUUCCCCCUAUCUUUGGUGGUGGCGUUCACGACGUGUGCUGUGCUUGAUCAUUCAUUCACUGGGGGGCUUGGUGUUGUGAGUGUGUAGUGCGUGUGUGUGAGUGAGGGCAAACGGACAUAUCCUUUGUAAGGCUGCAGUUUUGUUUUCCUGUGUUGAACAUUGUAAAUGUAGUUGACUGAGUCUUGCUUGUUUUAUUGUGUGUGUGUUUUUAUUAUUAAUUAUAAUAAAACCUUUUUUUGUAAUUUUCUAUAAAUA